CCAGUCUUUGGGUUCACAGCUUGGCUCUACAUUCAUUGCUGGAGGAAUCCAAGCCUCACAAAAGACCGCUUUUAAAGAAAAACUCUAUUUUUCUUAGAAGAACUAGAUUAAACUAAGAUCCUUUGCCAAUAAAAAGACAAACAAUAGAAAAUUCCUACAGAUUAAGAAUACCAACCAAGAUUUCAGUGAACUUACUUGCUUCAGCUCUGGGAGAACAGUUAUGACAUGGUGCUGAAUUACAUCAGUGAGGAACUAGAGCUUUAACCAAACUUGAGUAAGAACUCCCUGACUUGGAAACACUCAAGUUUCCCACACAUGACUGGAUGGCCCUGGCCACACUGGGAACGGAAUGGGGGCCUCCCAUUGGAACUCAGGGUGGAGGGGGAAGCUCGACCAGCUAUUGUGGCCCCCACUUCCAUUGACAAAAUAAGGGAUGAAGGCCCAGAGGGGUUAAGUAACUUGCCUGAAGGUGGUAGAGAAAUGAUUUAAAUCCAGGCUGUCUCCAGAUCUGCUCUCUUAACCACAGCAUCACAGCCUCUGGACCCACAUGGAAGACCCUGUGGCUGAAUCUGCAGGUGGGUCACCUCAGAUUCAUCCUUCAUCCUUUCCUCUUUAACUAUUUUUCUUCUGUUUUGAUCACCUCCUCUUGAAGAGUGAGGGAUUCCCAUCCUAGGGAUGCAGGCAUGGCUGAAUGAAACAUGAUACCUGAC
rnacentral:lncRNA from 1 species